CCUAGCACAGAUGUAAUAAGUCGUCUAACCAUCCAUUAACAUCCGACUGAACGCUAUCUCAAAGAUCUUAUCCACUACUUGAUCAUGUUAUAAAACUGUAUUCUUAAACUCACAGAGACGGGGUUAAAUCACAACAGUGUAAGAUAGAAAAAGCGAUUUUAAAGAACUCUCACGUGUGAGCAUAUUUUACACGAAACAGACAGCGUUGGGUCACAUCCUAUAGACGUAACAAGGCUAGCAAAACGAAAUUGGGCAUGACGAGGGGUAAAUGAUGGAAAGAAUGCACCAGAAAUUCAUCAACUAAGAGCAAUUCUCGUCAUGCUCGCAUUAGUUGUCAGUGGAUAACGCUCUAUGAGUGACAUGUUCUUCUGAUUGGCCGUGCUAGGAAUUGGUGGAAGGUCAGACUGGAACGGGGGUCGCUCUACACAAACCACCAUGCAAAAAGUUAUGAGAUACAGUAUUCAUUUGGACUGCUUGAGAGAAACCCAUAACCUUAACAAACCUUGGGAAUUCCAACACACUUAUGAAUUCCAAGACUAGAAAGAAAAGAGAAGAGCAGUGGAAACCUGUCAAAAUAAAAGUUAGCUGCAGAGUUUGAGUUAUCAGAUUAGACAUAACUGAAUGAUAGUCUCAAGGGAAGUUGGAAUCAUGUUUAAAUUAGCAGCAGUGUUUGAGAUACAGAGUUCUAGUUAGCAAGGUUUUACUGCAGUGGAGUAAGACAGAUAGAAAAGGGGGUCAGGCAAUUAUGGACAAGAACACAGAUAAACAGAUGGAUUGGUGAAUGGAUGGAUGGCUAAAUUGACACACAGAAGAUCAGUUGCAUGGGUGAAUAGAUUAAUGGCUAAACAGACAGACAGAGAACAGAAGAACACAUCUUGAGGUGCAUAACAUUAGUUAGGGACUACUAGUUACAAAACUUGAAAGAGGUAACCUUCUAUAAAUAAACAGGGGAGGAAGAGUGGUCCCAAAAAGGGGGAAGCGGAAG